GUCCGGCGUCGUCCGUCGUCGUCCGGCGUCGUCCGUCGUCGUCCGUCGUCGGCGUUAACUUUUUACAUUUUGAACUUCUUCUAGAGAACCACUGAAUGGAAUGAAACCAAACAUGGCAUGAAUGUUCCUUAUGAGGUGCUGACCAAGUGUUGUUACUUUGUAGCCGAUCCAUCAUCCAAGAUGGCCGCCAGCGGGGGACUUAGUUUAACAUAGGACCCUAUGGGAAAUGCAUACAAAUGACUUCUUUUAGAGAACCACUGAAUGGAAUGAAACCAAACAUGGCAUGAAUGUUCCUUAUGAGGUGCUGACCAAGUGUUGUUACUUUGUAGCCGAUCCAUCAUCCAAGAUGGCCGCCAGCGUGGGACUUAGUUUAACAUAGGACCCUAUGGGAAAUGCAUACAAAUGACUUCUUUUAGAGAACCACUGAAUGGAAUAAAACCAAACAUGGCAUGAAUGUUCCUUAUGAGGUGCUGACCAAGUGUUGCUACUUUGUAGCCGAUCCAUCAUCCAAGAUGGCCGCCAGCGGGGGACUUAGUUUAACAUAGGACCCUAUGGGAAAUGCAUACAAAUGACUUCUUUUAGAGAACCACUGAAUGGAAUGAAACCAAACAUGGCAUGAAUGUUCCUUAUGAGGUGCUGACCAAGUGUUGUUACUUUGUAGCCGAUCCAUCAUCCAAGAUGGCCGCCAGCGGGGGACUUAGUUUAACAUAGGACCCUAUGGGAAAUGCAUACAAAUGACUUCUUUUAGAGAACCACUGAAUGGAAUGAAACCAAACAUGGCAUGAAUGUUCCUUAUGAGAUGCUGACCAAGUGUUGUUACUUUGCAGUCAGUCCAUCAUCCAAAAUGGCCGCCAGCAGGGGACUUAGUUUAACAUAGGACCCUAUGGGAAAUACAUACAAAUGUCUUCUUUUAGAGAACCACUGAAUGGAAUGAAACCAAACAUGGCAUGAAUGUCCCUUAUGAGGUUCUGACCAAGUGUUGUUACUUUGUAGCCGAUCCAUCAUCCAAGAUGGCCGACAGCAGGGGACUUAGUUUAACAUAGGACCCUAUGGGAAAUACAUACAAAUGUCUUCUUUUAGAGAACCACUGAAUGGAAUGAAACCAAACAUGGCAUGAAUGUUCCUUAUGAGGUGCUGACCAAGUGUUGUUACUUUGCAGUCGGUCCAUCAUCCAAGAUGGCCGACAGCAGGGGACUUAGUUUAACAAAGGACCUAUGGGAAAUACAUACAAAUGUCUUCUUUUAGCGAACCACUGAAUGGAAUGAAACCAAACAUGGCAUGAAUGUUCCUUAUGAGGUGCUGACCAAGUGUUGUUACUUUGUAGCCGAUCCAUCAUCCAAGAUGGCCGCCAGCGUGGGACUUAGUUUAACAUAGGACCCUAUGGGAAAUGCAUACAAAUGACUUCUUUUAGAGAACCACUGAAUGGAAUGAAACCAAACAUGGCAUGAAUGUUCCUUAUGAGGUGCUGACCAAGUGUUGCUACUUUGUAGCCGAUCCAUCAUCCAAGAUGGCCGCCAGCGGGGGACUUAGUUUAACAUAGGACCCUAUGGGAAAUGCAUACAAAUGACUUCUUUUAGAGAACCACUGAAUGGAAUGAAACCAAACAUGGCAUGAAUGUUCCUUAUGAGGUGCUGACCAAGUGUUGUUACUUUGUAGCCGAUCCAUCAUCCAAGAUGGCCGCCAGCGGGGGACUUAGUUUAACAUAGGACCCUAUGGGAAAUGCAUACAAAUGACUUCUUUUAGAGAACCACUGAAUGGAAUGAAACCAAACAUGGCAUGAAUGUUCCUUAUGAGGUGCUGACCAAGUGUUGUUACUUUGUAGCCGAUCCAUCAUCCAAGAUGGCCGCCAGCAGGGGACUUAGUUUAACAUAGGACCCUAUGGGAAAUGCAUACAAAUGACUUCUUUUAGAGAACCACUGAAUGGAAUAAAACCAAACAUGGCAUAAAUGUUCCUUAUGAGGUGCUGACCAUGUGUUGUUACUUUGUAGCCUAUCCAUCAUCCAAGAUGGCCACCAUCGGGGAACUUAGUUUAACAUAGGACCCUAUGGGAAAUACAUACAAAUGUCAUCUUUUAGAGAACCACUGAAUGGAAUGAAACCAAACAUGGCAUGAAUGUUCCUUAUGAGUUGCUGACCAAGUGUUGUUACUUUGUAGCCGAUCCAUCAUCCAAGAUGGCCGCCAGCGGGGGACUUAGUUUAACAUAGGACCCUAUGGGAAAUACAUAAAAAUGUCUUCUUUUAGAGAACCACUGAAUGGAAUGGAACCAAACAUAGCAUGAAUGUUCCUUAUGAGAUGCUGACCAAGUGUUGUUACUUUGCAGUCAGUCCAUCAUCCAAAAUGGCCGCCAGCAGGGGACUUAGUUUAACAUAGGACCCUAUGGGAAAUACAUACAAAUGUCUUCUUUUAGAGAACCACUGAAUGGAAUGAAACCAAACAUGGCAUGAAUGUCCCUUAUGAGGUUCUGACCAAGUGUUGUUACUUUGUAGUCGAUCCAUCAUCCAAGAUGGCCGACAGCAGGGGACUUAGUUUAACAUAGGACCCUAUGGGAAAUACAUACAAAUGUCUUCUUUUAGAGAACCACUGAAUGGAAUGAAACCAAACAUGGCAUGAAUGUUCCUUAUGAGGUGCUGACCAAGUGUUGUUACUUUGCAGUCGGUCCAUCAUCCAAGAUGGCCGACAGCAGGGGACUUAGUUUAACAAAGGACCUAUGGGAAAUACAUACAAAUGUCUUCUUUUAGGGAACCACUGAAUGGAAUGAAACCAAACAUGGCAUGAAUGUUCCUUAUGAGGUGCUGACCAAGUGUUGUUACUUUGUAGCCGAUCCAUCAUCCAAGAUGGCCGCCAGCGUGGGACUUAGUUUAACAUAGGACCCUAUGGGAAAUGCAUACAAAUGACUUCUUUUAGAGAACCACUGAAUGGAAUGAAACCAAACAUGGCAUGAAUGUUCCUUAUGAGGUGCUGACCAAGUGUUGCUACUUUGUAGCCGAUCCAUCAUCCAAGAUGGCCGCCAGCGGGGGACUUAGUUUAACAUAGGACCCUAUGGGAAAUGCAUACAAAUGACUUCUUUUAGAGAACCACUGAAUGGAAUGAAACCAAACAUGGCAUGAAUGUUCCUUAUGAGGUGCUGACCAAGUGUUGUUACUUUGUAGCCGAUCCAUCAUCCAAGAUGGCCGCCAGCGGGGGACUUAGUUUAACAUAGGACCCUAUGGGAAAUGCAUACAAAUGACUUCUUUUAGAGAACCACUGAAUGGAAUGAAACCAAACAUGGCAUGAAUGUUCCUUAUGAGGUUCUGACCAAGUGUUGUUACUUUGUAGCCGAUCCAUCAUCCAAGAUGGCCGACAGCAGGGGACUUAGUUUAACAUAGGACCCUAUGGGAAAUACAUACAAAUGUCUUCUUUUAGAGAACCACUGAAUGGAAUGAAACCAAACAUGGCAUGAAUGUUCCUUAUGAGGUGCUGACCAAGUGUUGUUACUUUGCAGUCGGUCCAUCAUCCAAGAUGGCCGACAGCAGGGGACUUAGUUUAACAAAGGACCUAUGGGAAAUACAUACAAAUGUCUUCUUUUAGCGAACCACUGAAUGGAAUGAAACCAAACAUGGCAUGAAUGUUCCUUAUGAGGUACUGACCAAGUGUUGUUACUUUGCAGUCGGUCCAUCAUCCAAGAUGGCCGACAGCAGGGGACUUAGUUUAACAAAGGACCU